AUGGUGAACUUACUCACCAAGCAGCAGCGAGCUCUGGUCAUGGCUACCCAGCUCUCCUCCCUCGCUGCAUCCACAGGCAUUUCCGUAGUCUCAGGUCUCGCAAUAGCACUGCUGGUGAACACCCUCUAUAUCCUCGACACCGCCGGAUCAUUGGCCGUCUUAUGCAUCAAAGAGUUUACCCAUAGAGCCCCUCACCGGCGGGCGCUCAUCGGGACUUAUUCGCUCCUGAACACCACCAUCAGGCUCGUCUAUCCUGGGCACAGUGAGAUCUUAACUGCCGACCCUGCCAUCAUUGAGCAUGUCCUCAAGACAAACUUUAACGGGGAGAAGUCACGAUACCGGAGGAAGCUGGCAAGAUAUCCCUACGAAGACUAG
rnacentral:rRNA from 1 species